GGGGAUGUAGCCCAGUGGUAGAGCACUUGCCUAGCAUGUGAAAAGCCCUGGGUUCAAUUCCUAGCACCA
rnacentral:tRNA from 1 species